CGGCCGUGCCAUGCUGAAUAUACCGUUCGAUCACCGAAGUCAAGCAUCAUCGGGCGCGGUCAGUACUUGGGAGGGUGACCACCUGGGAACACCGCGUGCCGUU
rnacentral:rRNA from 1 species